UACGAAGGGGGCGAGCGUUUGUUCGGAAUUACUGGGCGUAAAGGGCGCGCAGGCGGCUCUGAAAGUCAGAUGUGAAAGCCCCGGGCUUAACCUGGGAAUUGCAUUUGAUACUCUGGAGCUUGAGUGUGGGAGAGGAGAGUGGAAUUCCCAGUGUAGAGGUGAAAUUCGUAGAUAUUGGGAAGAACACCGGUGGCGAAGGCGGCUCUCUGGACCACAACUGACGCUGAGGCGCGAAAGCGUGGGGAGCAACAGGG
rnacentral:rRNA from 1 species